GAUGAACGCUAGCGAUAGGCCUAACACAUGCAAGUCGAGGGGCAUCACAUGAAGUAGCAAUACGGAUGGUGGCGACCGGCGCACGGGUGAGUAACACGUAUGCAACCUGCCUUCAACAAGGGGAUAACCCGUUGAAAGACGGACUAAUACCCUAUAACACAGGGGUCCCGCAUGGGAAUAUUUGUUAAAGGACAACCGGUUGAAGAUGGGCAUGCGUUCCAUUAGCUAGUUGGCGGGGUAAGGGCCCACCAAGGCAACGAUGGAUAGGGGAACUGAGAGGUUUAUCCCCCACACUGGUACUGAGACACGGACCAGACUCCUACGGGAGGCAGCAGUGAGGAAUAUUGGUCAAUGGACGCAAGUCUGAACCAGCCACGUCGCGUGAAGGAAGACGGCCCUACGGGUUGUAAACUUCUUUUGCAAGGGAAUAAAGUGGGCCACGUGUGGCCUUUUGCAAGUACCUUGCGAAUAAGGAUCGGCUAACUCCGUGCCAGCAGCCGCGGUAAGUACGC
rnacentral:rRNA from 1 species